CUCUGCUGUCCUGGAGGAGGUACACCAGAACACGACUACUUUUAACAGUGGCAGCCACCGAUGGACAAUGGAAGGAAGCAUCCAAAGCACUCUCUACAGACCACCCGACCAGAAAAGACAAGAUACGGGUCUCAGGAGCAGUACAACAUCCCUCUCUCUGAUCUAGCUUCAGCAGAAACUGCCAGAGACUUCCUGUCCAGGCAAACAUCGGGCCUGCUGUGCUAUUAAAGUUCAAAGAAACAAUCCAGGUACAGCACAUUUAAAAGUCACAGGUACAACAAAGUGCCCCUGGGCCUAGGGCUCAGUCACUCUGGCACAGCUGGCUGCCGUCGGAGCUCACGGGCACGUCACUGCAACCCCAUCUGGCUUCUGCUCCGUGGCUGCUGGGUGAGCCCUCAUCUGGGACUCUCCUCAGCUCUUUCCGGGAUAGUGGCGCGGCUGCCCCUCUGUUAGUCUUCCUUGGACUCUUGUACUCUGAGGGUCUCUGGAUGUCUGGAGCCUGGAUCUCCUCCAUACCUGCUUCAUGCCCUGGAGGACGGGGCUAUGGCCCCCCACACCCUCUAGCAGAUCAUUACAUGAAGGAACCUUUUGAAUACAAGCGCGCUCACGCUCACAGGUGAUCCAGGUGAUAUAUAUAUAUGUAUUUUUUUGUCCCCCCACCUCAUUUUUUGUUUUGUGCCCUUUAUCACUGUUCCUCUUCCCUGCUGUUUCUUUCUUUCUCCCUUUCCCUUCCACCAGCCAUGUAUGUCCCAUAUGUAACACCUGAAAAUAAAAUAAAAAAUAGUAAAUAGUAAAAAAUAGUUUUAUUUUACUUUUAUUCUUUUUUUUUUUUUUACCUCAUAAUGGUAUCCUGUCAACGUCACUUUCUUAACACAAUGCCUACUAAUUUUAAUUAUUGCAACAACUUGAUAAUUAUUGGUAUUUGUACGUUGUUUUUAAGAGAAGUUAUUUAUUAUUCAAUGAUACUAUAAACACAUACCUUGUUUUUAAUGCUCACAGCUUUGCUCCAUAUUUAGAGUAUGUGGCGCUGUAUACUUGACUCACUCCACAAACAAAACGAAAUGUUGGGGCAGCAUCGAGGUAAAUCCUCUAUUGAGCUGCCAUGUAACACUAAUGUAAAAACAGCUGCAGCAACAUUUAGUUUCAAAAAAGAAAAUCACAUUUGUUAAAAAACCUUUUGAUAAUUUUGGUUUCUAACAUCACUCUUACAUUAACAAUAUAUUGUUUUACUAUUUUCCUUUUCUUCUUUGUCCAGUCUUUGUUAAUGCCUGAUUUUGUUCACCUGAUCCUUAUUAAUUUGCUUCUCUCUGAGCAUUUGCUGUCUGUAAACUUGGUCUUUCUCUAAUUGUUACAUACCCCUUUUUUUUUUAAUCAAAAGGCUGUCAGAAUCCCCCCUUUUUUCUUUUCUUAUAUUCGUUUUGCUUUGUCUUCAACUACAUCUGAGAUAUUUCAAUUUAUUUACAAUUUUUCUGUGAAGAACUCUGUUGAAAACAUCUUAAAUAAAUCCAACCAGCACAAACCCGUCUUUUGGUAUUAAAAGAUUUAUUUAUUUUUUUGCUAAAAAAAAAAAAAAAAGAAGAAGAAGCCCGGGGUCAAUAUUUCCAAAUAAAAGGUGUUACACUCAUUUUUUUACGUUAUUGGAUAUGUAGGUGUUUCCCUCAAAAUGCAAAUGUUUUGGUAUAUUAGAGUAGUUAAAUUGCAC
ensembl:lncRNA